rnacentral:rRNA from 1 species
ACGUGAUCUGAGUUCAGACCGGAGUAAUCCAGGUCAGUUUCUAUCUAUAAAGAGUCUUUUCCAGUACGAAAGGACCGCAAAGACAAGGUCUAUAUACCAACAAACCUUACUUAUUAAAUUAUGAGCUAAACUUAAUAAUUUAAUAAACCCCCAUAAUGCUCAAAAAAAGAGUA